rnacentral:rRNA from 1 species
UACGUAGGGUGCAAGCGUUAUCCGGAAUUAUUGGGCGUAAAGAGCUCGUAGGCGGUCUGUCGCGUCUGCUGUGAAAACUCGGGGCUUAACCCCGGGCCUGCAGUGGGUACGGGCAGACUAGAGUGCGGUAGGGGAGACUGGAAUUCCUGGUGUAGCGGUGAAAUGCGUAGAUAUCGGGAGGAACACCAGUGGCGAAGGCGGCGAUCUGGGAAGAUACUGACGCUGAGGUGCGAAAGCGUGGGGAGCAAACAGG